CCUGCCUCUGUCACUUCCCAACGCACGCCUUCCUGCCGUCCGCCGCACCAUCCAUGCUUGCCUCACUGGCCUCCAUGCUGUCUUGGUGCAUGGCUUGUUCCACCACGGUGCACUUUCAGGAACAUACACCCUGCCUCAAGUGAUGAGUCGCUGCUACACCGGUGUUGUGGGCCUAAGUCAUCUGGACGUGCAUGGUGCUCACUGCUGCUUUGCUGAGUUUUGGUCCGUGUAUUAUCCGUUGUCAAGACAUUGUUUCCUGCUUCACCGUUCGCGUGCUGUGGCACCGAAGCUAGCGGCAGUGGUGGGCGCAGACACCUGCUUUUAGUGUUGGUCUGGCGUGAUCGUGAAUGAAUGUACGGUCAUACACAUGCAAUUAAUGUGUAUGACCAUAACCAUGUGUUAAUGUGUGUGCAUUGUUAUUUGUGUCUUGUGGUGGUUGCUGUUGGUUUAUGAUUUUGGCACUGGUAGGAGGCCACCUCUGUUGCUGCAGAUAACCUGAGAUUGUGGUACCCUACCACUGUUAUGUGUGUUUGUGUUUACCAUUUAUUAUUUUGUUUCCAGGAGCUGAGCCCA